UACGUAGGGUGCGAGCGUUAAUCGGAAUUACUGGGCGUAAAGCGUGCGCAGGCGGUUUUGCAAGCCGGAUGUGAAAUCCCCGGGCUCAACCUGGGAAUGGCAUUCGGGACUGCAAGGCUGGAGUGCGGCAGAGGAGACUGGAAUUCCUGGUGUAGCAGUGAAAUGCGUAGAUAUCAGGAGGAACACCGGUGGCGAAGGCGGGUCUCUGGGCCGUAACUGACGCUGAGGAGCGAAAGCAUGGGGAGCGAACAGG
rnacentral:rRNA from 1 species